UUAUAGUCCUAAUGUUAUAUUUUGAAAGGUACAUAAAUUAAGGGUUAAAAUUUGAAAGACACACGAAUUAAGUAUUAAAUUCUGAAAGCCUCUCCCUCGAAUAACAGACUCCCAAACAAACGCCAUAAACCUCGACGAGCUCAGGAGCAGCCUCAGGAGGAGAGGAAGCUACCGGAAUCAUGGAGAACGGCGGCGUCGGCGGCGGAGGCGACGUCCCGGAGAACGGCAACGACCUCGGAGUCGGCAGGGAAGUCGGAGGCGUGCGCCGGGUGCCCGAACCAGCAGAUCUGCGCCUCGGCGCCCAAGGGCCCCGAUCCAGUACUCAGUGGAGCACACGGCCUGCAUCCAGUUGAGAAGGUUCUGUUGGCGAUGGGCAUUGUUAGUUAUCCCUUUCUAUUUUGUGAUUCUCCUGAGCUUGUGGUAUCGAGGAUAUGUGCAGAAGAUUUUACAGUUUAUUAGUUGCUAACUCACCUGGCAGACAAAAAUUCAAGCUUUUGGUGUUUAGAAGCAUGUCUGACUGUGAACAGUGUGAAUCAUGAGAAUGUAUGAUUUGCCUGAAAAAAUCUAGAUUAUUGAAACAAGCAUUUUUAUUUCAUAUUGUAGUUGGAAUAUUUUGUAGACCAUUAUUACAAAGCCCGUUGGUCAGCAUUACAGCGAAAAUGGGGAAUAUAGAUCCGCAGGGGUAGUAUGGGGCACUCUUCCUAGAUACACAAUUCCUAUGAGGCUAUGGAUCCAGCCAUUCUAGGCAAGGGUGGGCGGUAUCCAUAUGUAACCAUGGGUCUGCACAUAUCCAACUCUCGCGCUCAAUUCAUCGGCUUCAUUGGGGCCUCGGCUGCCAGGUUGAUAUGGGAUAGCCUUCAGCUUGCCUGCGUCAAUAUCGUGCAGCAGUGGAGUGAAGAUCUGCCAAGCAGCCUGAAAAUCCAACAGGGACAUGUUAGGGCGAAACGGAAAUGAAAGACUUCUUGAAGAAAAAGGAUUCCCGAUGAGCACACAAAUAUGCAGGGUGGCGCAAACCUUUAGCUCAUCUCGGCGAACAAAGUGCUGUUGGUCUCCUCGUAUUCUGUAGAAGCAUGGAUAUCAAUCAGUGCAAUAAAGAUAAGUAUCAUUUUGUAUAGAACAAGCUUUACAAGGUUAUAUGAUCUCAAGACAUGAUGUUGCAGAAUCAUCUAUGAUUUCGAGAUGAGCGAAUUUCUUUGUAAAGAAGAGAGAUAAAUGUUAAAAUAAUGAAAAUGAUGGCGCAUA